rnacentral:rRNA from 1 species
GAUCAUGGCUCAGGAUGAACGCUAGCUACAGGCUUAACACAUGCAAGUCGAGGGGAAACGACAUCGAAAGCUUGCUUUGAUGGGCGUCGACCGGCGCACGGGUGAGUAACGCGUAUCCAACCUGCCCACCACUUGGGGAUAACCUUGCGAAAGUAAGACUAAUACCCAAUGACGUCUCUAGAAGACAUCUGAAAGAGAUUAAAGAUUUAUCGGUGAUGGAUGGGGAUGCGUCUGAUUAGCUUGUUGGCGGGGUAACGGCCCACCAAGGCGACGAUCAGUAGGGGUUCUGAGAGGAAGGUCCCCCACAUUGGAACUGAGACACGGUCCAAACUCCUACGGGAGGCAGCAGUGAGGAAUAUUGGUCAAUGGGCGAGAGCCUGAACCAGCCAAGUAGCGUGCAGGAUGACGGCCCUAUGGGUUGUAAACUGCUUUUAUAAGGGAAUAAAGUGAGCCUCGUGAGGCUUUUUGCAUGUACCUUAUGAAUAAGGACCGGCUAAUUCCGUG